GUAGGUGGAGGAAAUGAAACCGAAUGGGAAUCUCUUAGUAAUGGCGAAUGAAAGGAGAUGUGCUUAGUGUCAAAAUCAGAUUACUCUGACUUGUAGGCUGUAGGGGCUUUGCCAACUUGGGUGCAGGUGCAAGUCUCUUGGAAAGGAGCACCAGUGAGGGUCAAGGUCCCGUCUGGCAUCUGUCAUCCCUUGUAGACGGUUUGCCCAUUGAGAGUCGUGUUCUUCUGGAGUAGAGCGCCAAUUGGGUGGUACUCUUUGCCCAAGGAGGAUUACGUGCUUGAGACCAAUAGUGAACAAGUACCAUGAGGGAAGGGUGAAAAGGACUUUGGAAAGAGGGUUAAGAGGGCAUGAAGCUGCUGGAAGGGAAGUGGAUUGGACUUUUACACUGCUGUAAGAUUGCAGGCUGCGAUUCUCACUUUGUGGGUAUUGCUUGCUGUGUCUCUUGCUGCUCGGUUGGGUUUUGCGUUGUGCCCAGAAUCUCAGCUUUGACUGGCAGAAGGGUUGCGACCUGGACCAUGUCUUUGCUUACUUUUGGUGCAGCAUUCAACCUUGACCAAAAGGUUCAAUUUUACCCGUCUUGAAACACGGACCAAGGAGUCUAUUGCGUGUGCAAGUGCAAGGGUUUCACACCUGACAGCUCAACAAAGGUGACUGCUGGGACUUCUGCACCAGCAACCAACUGAUCGCUUGGGAGAUGUUUGUGUAUGAGCACACUUGCUAGGACCCGAAAGGUGGUGAACUAUGCCUGAGAAGGGUGACGUCAGGGGAAACUCUGAUGGAAGCUCGUAGCGCUACUGACGUGCAAAUCGUUCGUCUG
rnacentral:rRNA from 1 species